rnacentral:misc_RNA from 1 species
GAUGAAGAACGUAGCGAAAUGCGAUAAGUAAUGUGAAUUGCAGAAUUCAGUGAAUCAUCGAAUCUUUGAACGCACAUUGCGCCCCCUGGUAUUCCGGGGGGCAUGCCUGUCCGAGCGUCAUUACAACCCUCAAGCUCUGCUUGGUGUUGGGCCCCGCCGCCCCGGCGGGCCCUAAAGUCAGUGGCGGUGCCAUCCGGCUCCGAGCGUAGUAAUUCUUCUCGCUCUGGAGGUCCGGUUGUGUGCUUGCCAUCAACCCCCAAUUUUUUUCAGGUUGACCUCGGAUCAGGUAGGUAUACCCGCUGAACUUAAGCAUAUCAAUAAGCGGAGGA